rnacentral:lncRNA from 1 species
CAAGAAUUAGUUCAAAAAAACCACCAAUCAGAAAUAAGAAGUUUACUAGAAGUUAAAUCAACAUGAAGACUUUACUUCUUAAAAUCCUAUAUGUAACUUUUUCAGUUAGUAAGAAACAGUAUUAAAUGCGAUAACUUACUCUACAAAACUAAUAAAAUAAAUAUCUGAGAACAAAAGAUAGCGAGGUUCACCCUUCUUGUUAAUCCGUAUCCAAAUAGCGCUACAAUGGUCUAACUUGUUGAGAAGGGCCCAACUGACUUCAUGAAAAUGUGUUGGCUAUAACGAAUGAAAGGCUCAACACAGGACGGAUCUUGAUUCAAGGAACUCUGAUAAGCAUUGGUUGUGUCGCAUUUUCUGAUGGCAAAACGUCAUCAGGAAACAACAUCUAAUGUCCUGCGGAUAGAGGCAAUUUCAAGAUCAAGAUGGCUGAUGGUGUGGAAAGAAUACAACUAGGGAUGUUAUCUCUGGUUAUAUGUUCGAAGCACUGACUAUACCUAAAGGAGUACUUACUAUGUAAAGAAAGGGGCAAGAAGUAUAUUGAAAGGUAACACUAUUAGAAAUACUGCAGCUUUUUGCACCACUGGAAUUUGAACAAGCUUUACUUUGGUACUUACGGAUGGGACACACAAGUGAACUAUGUAAAACAGAGAUCUCCAAGCUUCAAUUUGUAAACACUUCAUUCUUGGACAACAAACCAGACAAGUUUCUAAGACUGCUGGAUUCUAGACUGUGAAGACUACUCCUUGGCAACUAUUGGACUCAAAAUAACUAUGGAACUCUGGUCACGGAUGGCAGUGAAUUAUGUGAACUUUAAGAAUUUUUGACUGCAUGUAAAUGAAGGGAAGCUUGAACCAAGGGAAAGUAUAGGCAUUUUUCUUGGAUUUUGAUGCAGGAUCGAAAAGAGGGCAGCAAGAAAGGGGGGAGAACCAGAGAGAAUGGGGGGGAGAAACCGGAGAAGUAGCUGAAAUUCAGGGGGAAGUGAGAGGAAGGAGACGCCACAACCAAUUUCAAUUCAUCAUAAGCUUCAACUGUUUUGCAAUUCCAGUUAUCAACAUAUAAAUAGCAACAAAAAAAACCCUAAUAUUCACGGGCUUGGACCCACUAGACAAGUUCAAUGAAAUAAAAGAUAUCAUUAAAUAAGACACGAAGUAAAAUAAUUGAGCCGAUGUCCACAUCAACUCUCUUCGGGUGGGAGUAAACUCGACCCUGUCGAGUGGACAGAACACAAAAGGCUACAGUCAACCUAAUACCAACAAGGUUCCAUAUCAUAUCUCUAUUCAGUGCUAAGCUUCUGAACUCAUGCCACGGGGGAUGAUCUUUUUGAAGAAUCAAAUAUUGAAAUUCAACAGUUGAUAAUAGUGAAAGCUACAGCUUAUCCUCAAGGAUAUGAUCCACCCGAGGAGGACGAUCUCUCUUUUUAAUCAAAUACUAAUACUGAUCUUCAAAUAGUAAAUGCUCAUACAACUCAAUUCCAAAAUCUUCAUGUAAUUGUACAUAAUGAGGAGCAUAAG